ensembl:lncRNA
CAACGGAUGAGCAGCGUGAAAUUCCUUGAGUGAGAAAUACCUCUUCCACUUUUGUCGAUUCACACAGUGAACCUCAAAUGCACAAGCGGAAGUGAAACAAAAUAUUUUACCCUCCUCCACAUCUUCAGACUUGAUGGAUUAGUGGAAUUGAUUGGAAGCUAAUUUGGCACGAUACACACUUGGACCUCCGAAUCAGGUCUGAAAAUUGGAGCCUCUUGCUCGGGUGAGGAACCCCUUCUCACAGAAACACUCAGCCAUGGAAUAUUCUCCUUGAUAGCACGAUGACGCUAAUACAAUGGGACACCUCCGGAGCAGCACAGCCUCACGGUGAGUAGUGAGCUGAGGUAAGAGUAUUUUUUCUUUCUUUUCCUUGAGUCAGUUCCUCUUCUCCUUACGUAAUUUUAAACCUCACUUUUUGUCAUUGUCCCACAUCCACUUUCUCUCCCUCGCUUUGCCUUCUCUUAUGUUGUUCCCAUGGAAUUUUUGCGAACAAAUGUUCCUCCAUUCAACAAAGGCCCCCAAUCGUCCCAACCUUGCUUCCACUGAGGUGCCCUUUAUCUAAGUGGGAUAAUUUAGCUCCCGUUCUCUACAGAAUAAGACAAAAGCGCACACACACGAACAAACAUAUAAUUCAACCAUCAAGAUUAACUGUAAGUGUUGAGUAAUUACAUGUUUCUAACCUUUGUUUCCUUGUCAGCUGAAAUGAUUCAUAUGCUUCAGUGGCGGCUGGUGUAAUUUUCUUUGGUAGGGUUAGCCAGUCCGUUUCAGCAAACAUCCCAGUGUGAUUCAAUGCAAAGAAAGGAAUCAAACACAUUACUUUGCAUAUGAUGUUACAUUUCCAUGAUACGGCUAGCUUGACGGGAGUUAUCAGUGUGUGUAUUGGUGUUGCAUGUGCGGAUUUUGUUUCACGCCAGUUCGUUGCCUGUGUCACAACGCGGGAGGCGAGGCAGGAAGUAGGGCUAAAUUCAAAAUCCAAAACACCAGGGGAGAACAAACGAAGACACAGAAAAACGCAAACGGCAAACAGGGAUUUACAUGACACAGAGACGAUGUUCAGGGUAGACAUUCAAGGCAUAACAUGCAGGGUUGAACAAUCAAUGACACGACAAGGGAUACACCUGGCUUAAAUACACUGGGAAGGUGCAGGUGAUUGGACACAGGUGGAAACAAUCAUGGACAUGACAGACAAUCACAGGGAAUGACAGGACAAGGUAGGAAGUGAAGUUAACCCAGCAGCACCAGAGGCAUGAAACAACAAAAGACGUGAACCCAAACCGUCAGGUUGAUUUGAUCUGGAUCCAGUUGUUUUACACCUAGUUUCUCCAUCAAAGUUCUUCUCUCAAACGGGUCUUGCAGGAGAGAAUUUACAGAGUUCAGGUUCUGUUUUCAUGGAAUAAUACUGCUAGUGAUCGCCAUUUUCAUGUUGCUAAAACGACGCCUUGCAAGACUAUCCCUGACCAGAGUGCAGCCUGGAGCCAGCCCUACGAUGGCCCAAGGCUGAAUCUAUUUUAGGACCCUGAAAUUUAAGACGCAGACAGGCGGAGAGGAUGUGCAGGAAAAGAGUAUAUUCUGCGCAGAUAUCUAGAUUUACAAAUCUUACAAAUAAAUACUCAUUUUCUUACCAUAGUCUCCUUCUUGCUGUUGAAUGCCUAUUAAUGAAUAUGCACAGAUGUCUACUUUGGACUGCCAAAUCUCCACCUUUGAAAAUGUGAAGGGGC